GCAGCUUCGUUCGUGUGGGAGUCCUGACCUCAGUAACAGAUCUGACCUCUGGAGAAGCGUAGUAGUCUCUAACAGAUGUGUCUACAGUUCAGUCCAUACGUAAAGCCAGAAGUGAGAAGUGACGCACUGCAGCGUCGAAGCAGAAGAUCCAGCUUUCCGACUAAAGUGUCGAACCCGUCUCAACAUCUUUCUGUCUCGCUCUAUCUCUGCUUCUCAGCCUCUGCUAAACACCUGAACAACCUCCCUGCAGUGUUCAACUUCUGGCAGGGCAAGCUCAAGCACUGAAUCCCUGGGAUGUUUUUGAAGCACAGCAUCAAGGCUAUGGGAAACAAAAAAAACAGAAAAGGACUAAUUUCUUUCUCAAAUUGAUGUCCAAAAGAUCACAAAAGUUACCGUAACCCUGAACGAUGUCACGGCACAAGCAGAUUGUAAAAAGGGCAAAAGCAAUUGUGCUCUUAAUUUGCUCUUUACAAACAAAAAUAUGAUGAGCAACGACAACGGACUACACAGGAGGAAAACAAAAUGUUCGCGAUAAAAGACGAAUGAAUUGAAAAAUACUCCAGUGUGCACAAACCCAGGCCACGUCACAGAUGGAACUUUCCAAUGUGUUCAGUUAAAUGGAACAACUGAUUUGUACUAAAAUGCACUCAAAGUCUGGCUGGAUACGUACGACUACAGAAAAAUGAACUACAACUGCUGACCUUUUAUUCUGGUUUGGUGAAAAUCUAUCUGCUGCACCUGGAUAUUUUUCAGGAUUUCAACAAUGAAAUUCAACUUCCCAGUACGUAAAAUGUCACAUCCAUCAAUCUGACCAGCUGUUCAUUCAACUGAUAAAACAGAAGGCUGAGCAUUUGCUGACACCAUUGUAACUCAAAGAUUUCAGAUGUCUGACUGACAUGGCGAACAGAUGUUGACAUUAUGAAGUACUACACUGCACGUUCCAACACUUCUUCAUGCCCAGAUAUGGCAAUUACAUGAAAGCACACUGCUCUCCAAACAGGCACCAAAAGAAGUCCAAGCUGUAAAAGAACACUACCACAACAGAUAUAAAUAGCAUCAAUUUACAGCUGACACAGUUACCACAGUCCCAGCUACAUAGCACCUUAAUCAACUGGCACCAACAGCAAGGUAACAGACACUGGAUUAAAACAUUUUAUGUUUCAUAAAGCUGUGAUUUACCAACAGAAUGAGCAUAUCAAUAGGAUACUGUGACCCAUGUAAUGCUUUUAUUUAUUCAUUAAAAUCAUUUCAACAGUCAAAUGAACACAACACAUAAACGAGCCAGCAAGGAAAAGACUGUUUAAAAACUGCAGCACAUCAUUAUAUGGAACAUUCAACUUUUGAUUACAUAGCAAAAAGGUUAUAGACUCAUCUCAGUUAUACUUGUGUGAUAUUUGACAAGAUAUUUAGAACAGUUUUGUUACUGAUUAUAUUAAUAAUAAUCCUUGCAUUUG